rnacentral:piRNA from 1 species
AUGUGUUAGACCAAAUGGGGACGG